ACACAGGAUAGCAUUAUCCAAUGUUCAAAUAUUUAUAGGAUUAAGAUGGGCAUGCGUGUCAUUAGCUAGUUGGCGGGGUAACGGCCCACCAAGGCGACGAUGACUAGGGGAUCUGAGAGGAUGACCCCCCACACUGGUACUGAGACACGGACCAGACUCCUACGGGAGGCAGCAGUAAGGAAUAUUGGUCAAUGGAGGGAACUCUGAACCAGCCAUGCCGCGUGCAGGAAGACAGCCCUCUGGGUCGUAAACUGCUUUUAUUCGGGAAUAAACCUUUCUACGUGUAGGAAGCUGAAUGUACCGAAGGAAUAAGGAUCGGCUAACUCCGUGCCAGCAGCCGCGGUAAUACGGAGGAUCCAAGCGUUAUCCGGAUUUAUUGGGUUUAAAGGGUGCGUAGGCGGCUUAUUAAGUCAGGGGUGAAAGACGGUGGCUCAACCAUCGCAGUGCCCUUGAUACUGAUGAGCUUGAAUACACUAGAGGUAGGCGGAAUGUGACAAGUAGCGGUGAAAUGCAUAGACAUGUCACAGAACACCGAUUGCGAAGG
rnacentral:rRNA from 1 species